AUUGAACGCUGGCGGCAGGCCUAACACAUGCAAGUCGAGCGGAUGAAGGGAGCUUGCUCCUGGAUUCAGCGGCGGACGGGUGAGUAAUGCCUAGGAAUCUGCCUGGUAGUGGGGGAUAACGUCCGGAAACGGGCGCUAAUACCGCAUACGUCCUGAGGGAGAAAGUGGGGGAUCUUCGGACCUCACGCUAUCAGAUGAGCCUAGGUCGGAUUAGCUAGUUGGUGGGGUAAAGGCCUACCAAGGCGACGAUCCGUAACUGGUCUGAGAGGAUGAUCAGUCACACUGGAACUGAGACACGGUCCAGACUCCUACGGGAGGCAGCAGUGGGGAAUAUUGGACAGUGGGCGAAAGCCUGAUCCAGCCAUGCCGCGUGUGUGAAGAAGGUCUUCGGAUUGUAAAGCACUUUAAGUUGGGAGGAAGGGCAGUAAGUUAAUACCUUGCUGGUUUGACGUUACCAACAGAAUAAGCACCGGCUAACUUCGUG
rnacentral:rRNA from 1 species